UUUUUAUGAGAGUUUGAUCCUGGCUCAGGACGAACGCUGGCGGCGUGCCUAAUACAUGCAAGUAGAACGCUGAAGUCUGGUGCUUGCACUAGACGGAUGAGUUGCGAACGGGUGAGUAACGCGUAGGUAACCUGCCUCAUAGCGGGGGAUAACUAUUGGAAACGAUAGC
rnacentral:rRNA from 1 species